ACAGGCGGAUGGGUGAGUAAUGCCUACGAAUCUGCCUAGUAAUGGGGGAUAACGUCCGGAAACCGGCGCUAAUACCGCAUACGUCCUACGGGAGAAAGUGGGGGAUCUUCGCACCUCACGCUAUUAGAUGAGCCUACGUCGGAUUAUCUACUUGGUGAGGUAAUGGCUCACCAAGGCGACGAUCCGUAACUGGUCUGAGAGGAUGAUCAGUCACACUGGAACUGAGACACGGUCCAAACUCCUACGGGAGGCAGCAGUGGGGAAUAUUGGACCAUGGGCGAAAGCCUGAUCCAGCCAUGCCGCGUGUGUGAAGAACGUCUUCGGAUUGUAAAGCACUUUAAGUUGCGAGGAAGGGCAGUUACCUAAUACGUGAUUGUUUUGACGUUACCGACACAAUAACCACCGGCUAACUCUGUGCCAGCAGCCGCGGUAAUACAGAGGGUGCAAGCGUUAAUCGGAAUUACUGGGCGUAAAGCGCCCGUAGGUGGUUUGUUAAGUUGGAUGUGAAAGCCCCAGGCUCAACCUGGGAACUGCAUCCAAAACUGCCCAGCUANAGUAUGGUAGAGGGUGGUGGAAUUUCCUGUGUAUCGGUGAAAUGCAUAUAUAUCGGAAGGAACACCAGUGGCGAAGGCGACCACCUGGACUGAUACUGACACUGAGGUGCGAAACGCGUGGGGAGCAAACAGAGAUUACAUACCCCUGCGUAGUCCACGCCGUAAACGAUGUCAACUAGCCGUUGGGAGCCUUGAGCUCUUAGUGGCGCAGCUAACGCAUUAAGUUGACCGCCUGGGGAGUACGGCCGCAAGGUUAAAACUCAAAUGAAUUGACGGGGGCCCGCACAAGCGGUGGAGCAUGGUGGUUUAAUUCGAAGCAACGCGAAGAACCCUACCAGGCCUUGACAUCCAAUGAACUUUCUAGAGAUAGAUGGUGGCCUCGGGAGCAUUGAAGACAGUGCUGCAUGGCUGUCGUCAGCUCGUGUCGUGAGAUGUGGGGUUAAGUCCCGUAACGAGCGCCACCCCUUGUCCCUAGUUACCAGCACGUAUUGGUGGCCACUUCUA
rnacentral:rRNA from 1 species